UACGGGGGGGGCAAGCGUUGUUCGGAAUUACUGGGCGUAAAGGGCUCGUAGGCGGCCAACUAAGUCGGAUGUGAAAUCCCCAAGCUUAACUUGGGAACUGCAUCCGAUACUGGAUGGCUUGAAUCCGGGAGAGGGAUGCAGAAUUCCAGGUGUAGCGGUGAAAUGCGUAGAUAUCUGGAGGAACACCGGUGGCGAAGGCGGCAUCCUGGACCGGUAUUGACGCUGAUGCGCGAAAGCCAGGGGAGCAAACGGG
rnacentral:rRNA from 1 species